ACUGGAAGAAGAAAGAGACCAUUAGGGACCACUCUUGCCCCAUCACAGUGUUGAAGUCAGCCAGCACCUGGGUUCCAGAGCAGCUUCAACCUAUGUUUUUUUUCAAUCUGUUCUUUUCGUCCAUCCAGUGACCAUCUCCUAUGGCAAGGCAGCAAGCUCGGUGUUGAAAUACAGACACGAACUAAACUUGGUCCUUGGAGUUUACAAGAUGUAUCCCUGAAAUUCUAGAGUUGGUUCUCGGAGACACGGAUCACCACAGCUGCAAGGCACCAGAGAGAGAGCAUCCACUGGGUUGAAGACUUCCUUGCAGAUGCCUUCCUUGCAGACUUCCUGCCACAUGACAUUUGAGGAGGCCAGUUUGGUCCUGACAGUCCUCCCCAUCUUCUUUUAGAGCAACCUCUUUUUCCUGUUUUAUACAGAAUGCCCUGGAAAGAUAUUGUUCGAUUUUAAACAAAAAUACAGAAAAAACUUGUUGUGGUUU